CAAUAGCGUAUAUUAAAGUUGUUGCAGUUAAAAAGCUCGUAGUUGAAGUUUGGGCCUGGGCGGGCGGUCUACCUAUGGUGAGUACUGCUGCGGCCGGGUCUUUCCUUCUGGCUAGCCCUCGGGCGAACCAGGACGAUUACUUUGAGGAAAUUAGAGUGUUCAAAGCAGGCCUUUGCUCGGAUAUAUUAGCAUGGAAUAAUAGAAUAGGACGCAUGGUUCUAUUUUGUUGGUUUCUAGGACCAUCGUAAUGAUUAAUAGGGACGGUCGGGGGCAUCAGUAUUCAGUUGUCAGAGGUGAAAUUCUUGGAUUAACUGAAGACUAACUACUGCGAAAGCAUUUGCCAAGGAUGUUUUCAUUGA
rnacentral:rRNA from 1 species